rnacentral:rRNA from 1 species
UACGAAGGGGGCUAGCGUUGCUCGGAAUCACUGGGCGUAAAGGGUGCGUAGGCGGGUCUUUAAGUCAGGGGUGAAAUCCUGGAGCUCAACUCCAGAACUGCCUUUGAUACUGAAGAUCUUGAGUUCGGGAGAGGUGAGUGGAACUGCCGAGUGUAGAGGUGAAAUUCGUAGAUAUUCGCAAGAACACCAGUGGCGAAGGCGGCUCACUGGCCCGAUACUGACGCUGAGGCACGAAAGCGUGGGUAGCAAACAGGG